rnacentral:piRNA from 1 species
UGAAACACAGACCACCUACUCUUACAUGUU